rnacentral:sRNA from 1 species
UGAUAAUCCUGACAGCAGUGGAAAUACUUUUUGCAGCACCUCCCAUAAAUAUGCGAUCACGUUGUUAAAAAAGAUUGAAACGAAUGGCAGGGUUGGAA